AUGGCUUUGCAUUGGCAGUUUGUGUAAUGGUCUCCGCAUUAGUUUUUAUAGGUUUGGCGGAUAUGUUUCUGACUGGAAGAGCUUCAAAGAAGUAAACCAGAGCGUCCUCAAGCUCGAGAGUGUCUGUAUAAUUAGGUCAAGCAGAAGGCAUGUGAACCAAGUCACG